UACGAAGGGGCCUAGCGUUGUUCGGAAUCACUGGGCGUAAAGCGCACGUAGGCGGAUAUGUCAGUCAGGGGUGAAAUCCCGGGGCUCAACCUCGGAACUGCCUUUGAUACAGCAUAUCUUGAGUCCGAUAGAGGUGGGUGGAAUUCCUAGUGUAGAGGUGAAAUUCGUAGAUAUUAGGAAGAACACCGGUGGCGAAGGCGGCCCACUGGAUCGGUACUGACGCUGAGGUGCGAAAGCGUGGGGAGCAAACAGG
rnacentral:rRNA from 1 species